AACGAACGCUGGCGGCAGGCCUAACACAUGCAAGUCGAGCGAGAUCUUCGGGUCUAGCGGCGGACGGGUGAGUAACGCGUGGGAAUAUGCCUCUUGGUACGGAAUAGCCUCGGGAAACUGGGAGUAAUACCGUAUGUGCCCUUUGGGGGAAAGAUUUAUCGCCAAGAGAUUAGCCCGCGUUGGAUUAGGUAGUUGGUGGGGUAAUGGCCUACCAAGCCGACGAUCCAUAGCUGGUUUGAGAGGAUGAUCAGCCACACUGGGACUGAGACACGGCCCAGACUCCUACGGGAGGCAGCAGUGGGGAAUCUUAGAAAAUGGGGGCAACCCUGAUCUAGCCAUGCCGCGUGAGUGAUGAAGGCCUUAGGGUUGUAAAGCUCUUUCAGCUGGGAAGAUAAUGACGGUACCAGCAGAAGAAGCCCCGGCUAACUCCGUG
rnacentral:rRNA from 1 species